ACCGAAAUAACUCAGUUGGGAGAGCGUUAGACUAUAAAUUGAAAAGUCCCUGGUUCGAUCUUGGGUUCCGGCA
rnacentral:tRNA from 1 species